UCUGAGACUAGGGCCAGACGUGGCCCUAACAGGGUCCUUCCUUAGUUCCCAGGGGGUGAGUUUCCAGAGAAUAGAGCUCUGUGAGACAGUGUGGCUGAACAACCAUUCACCAAAGAGAUAAAGUUUAUGACUCAUGGAUCCAAUCAACUAUCUAAGAGAAAGUCAGGAAUGGAAGCAUAGUCAUCCGGGAGAGAUCUGUGGAAGAUCUUUUUGCCUGAUGGCUUGGACCUCCUUGAAUUGCCUGGAAGACUGAUGGGGUGGUUUGGAGCUAUGUAUUCCAGAAAAGCAUGUUUUUAAACUUAAUCCAUUCCUCUGAGUGUGAGUCCACUGUAAGCAGGACCUUUUGAUGAAGUUUCUUCAGUUAAGGUGUGGCCCAACCCAAUCAG
rnacentral:sRNA from 1 species